GACCCAUCUCACCACCACUGGACCCUUCUACAGGAUCAUCUCUGCUCCAACAGAGCCACAUCUGUCACUGCAGGAGGACUUGAUUGGACUGCUCCCAAUCCCCUGACCAACAGGGUGUCAGAGGUUUUGAUGGAGAGAUGUCUUCUUUAUCUGAAGUGUUGCCCUUCCACUGAUCUAUGCUUUUCUGCAUGGAGCUGCUUUGAAGCAGCACAGAACUCGGUGGGGAUAAAGCCGAAGCUGGAUCCAGGCGCGGGUCUGAGCUGGCCAAGGUGCUGAGGACGCUGCACACUCUGGGCAGGAAAGGCUCCUGUGCCUCCAGGCAGGACCUGAGUUCCACCCCGCUUCUGGCUUUGCAGAGUUUUCUAUUUGCUCAAGCUCUGGGCACCCCUUAACACAACAAACAGCACAGAAAGGGUCUCGUGGUCAGAGGCUGGAGAAGAGCUGGAUCCCUGGGGGUGGCAAAGCCCUGCUGGGGAACACUCGGGCUGGGUGUGCCCUGCCAUGGGAUUGUUUCACCUUUUUGUUCCUGGAGAAUCAGGAAAUUCUGAGUUGGGUUUCUGCUGGUCCCCUGUCCUUAAAACCAGCCUUGAUUUUGGCAGUGCCUGUGGAGGUCCCUGCCAGGCUCUGCAGUUUCCUUGGCUAUGCUUGUCUGGGGCUCUUUGCAGGCUGAGCUCUGAGUGGGGACCAGGAGCAAAGUGAGUAAAUCUCUACAUGAAAAUAAUCCUGCAUUUAAAUUUCAGUUCCCUGGAUUUGAUUUUGAGUUUUAGCAUUGCUGUCUGAGUAGUCACACUGAAUUUGUGGCUCAGUGCUCCUGCCCAUUGCCCUCCCAACCCUCUGAUUUAUUUCCAAUACCAUCAGCCCAGUUUCUCUAAUUCAUUUUAUUAUCUUGGCAGUGCUCUUAACCAGUGUCAGCCAAGGCAGUGCUUUUCUGUUACUGGUUUUUCUUCUGUAAAUUGUGAGAUGGAUAACUUCCCCUUUGCUGAUCAUUUAUCCAGUUUAUGAUAGACAAUAUCCCUGGUAAUACCUUAAGCAGAAGAGGAAUCUGGUUUGCAGCAUGCAUCAAACCACAGCUUGUUUAUUUAUUGAGUUCAUUUUAAUCUCUGGAUCUGUGAUCAUAAACUGCAAUGCAGUUAUUUUUUUAUCUCUAAAUUGGGGCAAUUGUGUGGUUGGAUUUAUGGAGAGAUUUAGUUAGAUGGAAAUUUUUUGUUUUGUUGGUUUAUUCUGAAAGCUGGAGAGCUGUGGAAAAAGCUGUUAAUACAAUUUUUUUCUGCAUGUGGGGAUUGUUAGGAUGCCUAGUCUCUUGUGGAGAAGCAGAAUUCACAAGUCUGUGGGUGAGUUUGCUCACUGCAGAGAUGUAAGAUAAUAAAGGUUGAGACUGAAUAGGUUUGUGAACAAUUUUUGGAAAUAUUAUGAUGUACAUCCAGCUCCCUUUAGCAACAGUAAAUUCACCACCAUGAAACAAAGGAAUAUUGAGGUAAUAUAAUACCCAGAUUUUAUGAUCAGAGUUUGUAUAUACCCAUUACGUCCUGUGUUUUCAGCUAAGUCUGCUGAUACCAAGUAGACAUACAGUAGAAGAUGGAUUUGGGUAAGGGAGGGUAUUUUUUAUAAAGUUCUGUCUAAUAUCAGGAGGAUUUGAAAUGUUUUUCCUUUGCCUCACAGCAGAACUCUCCCCUCAGGAAGUGAGCUGGCAGUUCCAUGUGACCAGGGCUUUUCCUAUGUUGCCAUUUUCAGCUGAGCUGCUGCCACUGCCUUUGGACAAACUCUGUGUCAUGGCAGUGGUGAAUUGAAAUUUAUUUACUGCAGGAGUCCUUACUGAAUUUACAGUGCACCAGAGCAGGCUAAAAGCCUGCACCAGUUGCAGUGGCUGAGAUGAAGGGCAGUAACUUAUAAAGCUUUUGUAAUCUAAUUGUACUUUAGUUGUGUGUUUUUACAAUCUUCUUCCCAGGCACUAUAUUUAACAGCCUCUGGAAUUUAUAAUGGAUUCCAAUAGUGUAUCACAAAAUUUUAGUAAAGACUUCUGUUAAAGCUAUCCUUUUUCUCAAAUUUGGUGUUAUUUCCUUCCUACCUACGACUCUCUGCCAUUUUGUUGCUGCAGUUUUAUGUCUGACAGGGAUGACUUGUACCCCUAAGAACUUGUGGGAUUGCAUUGAGGUUCAAGAUUCCUGUCAUAAUUUAUGCUAAUGUUUUAAUCAGAUGAAUUCUCCCCCCUUGUUUUGCCUAAUGAAUGUUGACCUUUCUCUCUGCUCCCCAUCUAAUAAUAUA